CCUGAUCAUUUUAUAAUGAUCAUUUCUUAUUUAUUACUUUCUUGCUAUUUGUCCUUGGCCGGAUAGUUUGAUGUCUCAGAUCAAGUCAAUGUAUGAUGAAUUGAAGUCAGAACAUGAGAAGAACAGUCAAUCUCUUGUGGAGUUACUUCAACAGAGUUUCGGAGAAUGUGAAAAUAGUGUCGGAAUGCAACCGUCAAGUUCCAUGAACUUAACGAGAAGUUUUGUGAGGAUAAAGCUUCUCAUCAGCAAGCCCCUUUGCAGGCUUUAGAUGAUAUUUUUUCCAAAUUUGAGGAGGAGAAGGAAAGGCUCUUCAUGCAAUAUGAACAAAUAAGAAAGAAGGAGAAGUCUAUGA